AGUGAACGUUGGCGGCGUGGAUUAGGCAUGCAAGUCGAGCGAUCGUAGCAAUACGGGAGCGGCAAACGGGGUAGGAAUACAUCGGAACGUACCUUUUGGUUGAGAAUAGCGUUGGGAAACUGACGGUAAUACUCAAUAAAGUCGAGAGACCAAAGGUUUACUGCCGGAAGAGCGGCCGAUGCGAUAUUAGGUAGUUGGUGGGGUAAUGGCCUACCAAGCCUGAGAUGUCUAGGGGUGUGAGAGCAUGGCCCCCACCACUGGGACUGAGAUACUGCCCAGACACCUACGGGUGGCUGCAGUCGAGGAUCUUCGUCAAUGGGCGAAAGCCUGAACGAGCGACGCCGCGUGCGGGAUGAAGGCCCUUGGGUUGUAAAACCGCUGUCAGGGGGGAUGAAACCGUAAGGUUGACAGAGCCCCAGAGGAAGCACGGGCUAAGUUCGUGCCAGCAGCCGCGGUAAU
rnacentral:rRNA from 1 species